rnacentral:rRNA from 1 species
UACGUAGGGUGCAAGCGUUAAUCGGAAUUACUGGGCGUAAAGCGCACGCAGGCGGAUUGAUAAGUCAGGGGUGAAAUCCCGGAGCUCAACUUCGGAAUUGCCUUUGAUACUGUCUGUCUUCGAGUUCGGGAGAGGUUGGCGGAAUUCCUAGUGUAGAGGUGAAAUUCGUAGAUAUUAGGAAGAACACCAGUGGCGAAGGCGGCCAACUGGCCCGACACUGACGCUCAUGUGCGAAAGCGUGGG